rnacentral:rRNA from 1 species
GACAUCGAAAGCUUGCUUUUGAUGGGCGUCGACCGGCGCACGGGUGAGUAACGCGUAUCCAACCUGCCCACCACUUGGGGAUAACCUUGCGAAAGUAAGACUAAUACCCAAUGAUAUCUCUAGAAGACAUCUGAAAGAGAUUAAAGAUUUAUCGGUGAUGGAUGGGGAUGCGUCUGAUUAGCUUGUUGGCGGGGUAACGGCCCACCAAGGCGACGAUCAGUAGGGGUUCUGAGAGGAAGGUCCCCCACAUUGGAACUGAGACACGGUCCAAACUCCUACGGGAGGCAGCAGUGAGGAAUAUUGGUCAAUGGACGAGAGUCUGAACCAGCCAAGUAGCGUGCAGGAAGACGGCCCUAUGGGUUGUAAACUGCUUUUAUAAGGGAAUAAAGUGAGUCUCGUGAGACUUUUUGCAUGUACCUUAUGAAUAAGGACCGGCUAAUUCCGUGCCAGCAGCCGCGGUAAUACGGAAGGUCCGGGCGUUAUCCGGAUUUAUUGGGUUUAAAGGGAGCGUAGGCCGGAGAUUAAGCGUGUUGUGAAAUGUAGACGCUCAACGUCUGCACUGCAGCGCGAACUGGUCUUCUUGAGUACGCACAACGUGGGCGGAAUUCGUGGUGUAGCGGUGAAAUGCUUAGAUAUCACGAAGAACUCCGAUUGCGAAGGCAGCUCACGGGAGCGCAACUGACGCUGAAGCUCGAAAGUGCGGGUAUCGAACAGGAUUAGAUACCCUGGUAGUCCGCACGGUAAACGAUGGAUGCCCGCUGUUGGCCUGAAUAGGUCAGCGGCCAAGCGAAAGCAUUAAGCAUCCCACCUGGGGAGUACGCCGGCAACGGUGAAACUCAAAGGAAUUGACGGGGGCCCGCACAAGCGGAGGAACAUGUGGUUUAAUUCGAUGAUACGCGAGGAACCUUACCCGGGCUUGAAUUGCA